UUCCCCAUGAUCCCGACCCCGGGGUUGGUGCACUGAGUAACAGGCGACAGGGGGCAUCCCAUGCAGACAGGGAGCCCGGCUGGAGACAGAACAGAUCCGGAGUAGCCAGGGCGCCGGCUGGACAGACAAUGGCUGCAUCUCCGUGCCUGGGUGAUGCCGGCAGGUCC